CACAUGCAGUCGAGCGGAGAGAGGUAGCUUGCUACUGAUCUUAGCGGCGGACGGGUGAGUAAUACUUAGGAAUCUGCCUAUUAGUGGGGGACAACAUCUCGAAAGGGAUGCUAAUACCGCAUACGUCCUACGGGAGAAAGCAGGGGAUCUUUAUGACCUUGCGCUAAUAGAUGAGCCUAAGUCGGAUUAGCUAGUUGGUGGGGUAAAGGCCUACCAAGGCGACGAUCUGUAGCGGGUCUGAGAGGAUGAUCCGCCACACUGGGACUGAGACACGGCCCAGACUCCUACGGGAGGCAGCAGUGGGGAAUAUUGGACAAUGGGGGGAACCCUGAUCCAGCCAUGCCGCGUGUGUGAAGAAGGCCUUAUGGUUGUAAAGCACUUUAAGCGAGGAGGAGGCUUACCUGGUUAAUACCCAGGAUAAGUGGACGUUACUCGCAGAAUAAGCACCGGCUAACUCUGUGCCAGCAGCCGCGGUAAUACAGAGGGUGCAAGCGUUAAUCGGAUUUACUGGGCGUAAAGCGCGCGUAGGCGGCCAAUUAAGUCAAAUGUGAAAUCCCCGAGCUUAACUUGGGAAUUGCAUUCGAUACUGUUUGGCUAGAGUGUGGGAGAGGAUGGUAGAAUUCCAGGUGUAGCGGUGAAAUGCGUAGAGAUCUGGAGGAAUACCGAUGGCGAAGGCAGCCAUCUGGCCUAACACUGACGCUGAGGUGCGAAAGCAUGGGGAGCAAACAGGAUUAGAUACCCUGGUAGUCCAUGCCGUAAACGAUGUCUACUAGCCGUUGGGGCCUUUGAGGCUUUAGUGGCGCAGCUAACGCGAUAAGUAGACCGCCUGGGGAGUACGGUCGCAAGACUAAAACUCAAAUGAAUUGACGGGGGCCCGCACAAGCGGUGGAGCAUGUGGUUUAAUUCGAUGCAACGCGA
rnacentral:rRNA from 1 species